ensembl:lncRNA
AUGGCAUUCUGGGGAGUGAUCACCCCGGGUCCUGAUGCACUAACUGAUACCUCCAUUCCCUUUCCUAAUGGGAGUCAUCUCGAGCCCACAAUGACAGCUUGUGACUUUGCAUUGAGGCUUGUUUAUUUAUUAUUUCAGGUUCAGCCAAAAAUCCAGCCCCUCUCAAAGGACAAAGAUUCAACCCUCCAGAACAGUUCACAAACACUUCUCAGAGUCCUGCGUGCUGUGCAGAUGGUAAACAUCUCCGGGAGUCUCGCCAACACUCCAGAAUGGACUAAGACAUCCUCCCUGGGGAAAGCCCCCAUCUCAGCCCCCCUGUUUCUCUGCUUCAUCACCCAGCACCCACUGGAAUGUCAGCUCCACCCCGGCAGGACCUUCUUUGUUCCCCCCACUGGACAGGCCUGGCUGUGAGUAUGGUGGGAUCUGCGCAUGGGCCUGCUGGCUGACAGCCUGUCCUUCUCUGUGCUGGUGAAAAAGAGGGUUUGUUUCUUAUUUCCAGCUUUCUAAAACGUAUUUUUAGAAUUACAAACAUCAGAAACACAGUUCCUAUCUGUAGGGCUGCAGUGGGCCAGAGUAAGAUGGAGCCAGGGAGAGAGGAGAACACAGCCUGGCUUACCUCCCGGUGUGGGGUACAGAGCCAGGCCCUGCCGUGCCAGCUGUGCCUCCUCCCAACCCAAGCAAGCAGGCAGCCCAGCCUCGGUGAGGGGAUCCAGGCUCUGGUCUGUCUUGCUGUGUGGUGUUGGCCACAGGUUCCCCUCUCUAGACCUCUGAGGUUAGAGUCGGCCAGUGGGUCCCUGUGGGGCUGGCUCACUGCCUUGGAAAACAGCCAGGAAGGCAGAUUUCCAGGCCCCACCUGAGACCUAGGGAAUCAGCCCCGGGGAGCAGGUGGAGAUGAAACCCGCAUUUAAACUAGCCUCUUUAGUGGUUCUCAGGUGGCUGCGGGGACUGUGGGUUGAGACCGUCUCCAAGGAUAGAUUCAGGAAGAUCCAACUCAGUUUUGCUUUUAAGUCUCAGCUCAGCCCCCUCCUGGCUGCAUAGACCCAUGAGCCUUCUUGCCUCAGGUUUGUCAUCUGUGAACCGGGCUGGGGAGGAUUCUAGGGGCCGGUCCACGCACAGAGAGGACUUCACACCGAGCCGGCAGGACGCAGAGAUAGUGCCCGCCCUGCUGUUCUAGGGCAAGAUGCUCUGGCUCUCUGCCCAUUGCUGUCCACACCUUCGCAGGAAGUGGAUGAUACAUGUUAAUUUAAUUAAUCAGCUGAAAUCCUGAAGGCUUCCUAAGGGCAUCUUUUCAACUGUCUGGAUGGGUCGGGGAAAUCCCGGCCCCACAGCAGGGCUCCUGGGCCCAGCUAGCAAAGGUCCCAAAUAGCUGCGGAAGACCUAGGAAGAGGUCAGGUGGCUUUAUGGCCAGGAGCUGGGGCCUGAGCUGUCGGUUUGAGGCUUGGCACUGACAAGUCAAAAUUCUGCCCGACUGGUCGCUUUCUUGCUAUGAAUAAACAUUUGCCGUCAUCUGAAUUAAUCUCCAGCCUCUCAGCCACUCAGUGGGAGUGACUCCUCCUUGCCAGGGGGUGCCCUCUGGGCCUCAGAGGGUGAAGGACCUGGGACCUCUUGUGAACAGCGCAUUCAAUCCCACAGUUGCCACCACGGUGUGUGAGUUUCUUGCAUUGCCAUUAGUUGGGAGCAUUUAGUUUCCCAGGGCUACCAUUCGGGUGAGCUGUGUGGGCUCCUGGCAGGCUGGGUGCCAUUCAGAACCCACUUCGCCUUUGAGGGGGUCAUGAAGACCGAGGAGGCUUGGCCCAGAUUGUAAAAGGACCAGAAACUCAAUGGGGAGUGAUAUAAAUAGACACAUGGCAGAGUGCUUCUUGGAAGCCAAAGGUGUGAGUGCUGUUAGAUUCUGGACCACAGAAAGGCCAAGGUGCACAGGCGGCAGCCCCACCUUUGUUCCUUCCUGCAAAGCCUGAGUACGAGCUACCAUGGGGCUCACGGCAGGAGAGGCGGGGGGCAGAUUAGCUUUGUGCUCCCACAUCCUCAGAGACACAGGAGACUAGAGUCGGGAAAGCCAAAGCACUAAUUGAACUGAAACUUGGGGGAGGAUUUUGGGACAUCCUCCUGCCUUGGCACUUUGGGAGGCAGAGGCGGGAGGAUUGCUUGAGGCCAGGAGGUCGAGGCCAGGAAGUCAAGACCAGCCUAGGCAAAUUAGUGAGACAUAGUGAGCCCCUGUCUCUACAAAAACAAUUAAGGAAUUAGCUGGUGUGGUGGCAUGCACCCAAAGUCCUAGGAGGCUGAGGUGGAAGGAUCACUUGAGCCCAGGAGUUCGAGGUUACAGUGGACUAUGACUGUACCACUGCACUCCAGCCUGGGUGGCAGAGCAAGAUCCCGUUUCUAAAAAAAUAAAUAAAUAAAAGAAAAAGGAUAAGUAAGUCGUCCUCAGAGGAAAGGAGAUGGCAGGGAGGGCAGCCGGCUCUUUCAGGCAGGUACAGCGGUGUUAACAGGGGACAGAAAAGCA